rnacentral:rRNA from 1 species
GGUGAACGCUGGCGGUAGGCCUAACACAUGCAAGUCGAACGGCAGCACAGUAAGAGCUUGCUCUUACGGGUGGCGAGUGGCGGACGGGUGAGGAAUACAUCGGAAUCUACUUUUUCGUGGGGGAUAACGUAGGGAAACUUACGCUACUACCGCAUACGACCUACUGGUGAAAGCAGGGGAUCUUCGUACCUUGUUCGUUUGAAUUAGCCGAUGUCGGAUUAGCUAGUUGGCGGGGUAAAGGCCCACCAAGGCGACGAUCCGUAGCUGGUCUGAGAGGAUGAGCAGACACACUGGAAGGGAGACACGGUCCAGACUCAUAAGGGAGGGAGCAGUGGGGAAUAUUGGACAAAGGGCGGAAGCCUGAUCCAGCCAUAGCGCGUGGGUGAAGAAGGCCUUCGGGUUGUAAAGAACUUUUGUUGGGAAAGAAAAGCAGCAGGUUAAUACCCCGCUGUUCGGACGGUACCCAAAGAAGAAGCACCGGCUAACUUCGUG